UCCAUGUGAUCGAAAGCGGCCGCGAGCCUGU
rnacentral:sRNA from 1 species